CAAUAACCUGGACGCCUACGUGGACGACCUGCUCUCCAUCCUCGACGCGCUCCGCAUCCCGCGCUGCGCCUUCUUCGGCCACUCUGUCUCCGCCAUGAUCAGCAUCCUCGCCUCCAUCCGCCGCCCCGACCUCUUCGCCAAGCUCGUCCUCAUCGGCGCCUCGCCUAGGUGGGUACGGUGGUAGAGUAAUUCGCACCGCCUAUCGAUAUAUAGGUCAAUUAUUAUCGGUCCUUCCUUUCCUUGCACGCGGCGCCUCGCCGGCAAACCAACUGACCGGAGCAAUCCAUCGAUCGAU
rnacentral:lncRNA from 1 species